GAGACCUGCCCAUCGCUAAUGGCCCCAAGACUUCAGGACUGUCCCCAGUUCUCCCUGAACCUCUCAAUUUGUUCACCUGUAUAUUCUGGAUCCUGCGGUUGGCAAUAUUCAGAUACCAGAUGGAAAUAUCCACAGUAGUUAUUUCUAGUAAGACAAUGCUUAUAGAGAAACAACUGGUCAAAUCAGAAUCUGGCAACUUCUCCAUCAUUCCUGCAAUCCUCCACCUAAGGUUUCACUCGUCAUUCCCAAGUUGAGCAGACUUGAGAAGAACCAUGAGAGUAUCCUGUCAGCCUUCAGAUCCAACUUCAGCACACAGACCACUCUCUUCAAAGAGAUGCCCUCUCUUCAGCCCACUGUUCAGAACUCUUCAACUUUAAUCCUUUCAUAUCUAAUCAAGUUUACUUUAUGUAUGGUGGGCAGCACCUCACUUUGGAAAGCAGGUGUAUUUUUUUUCGUAUUGUUUUCUUGAUCCAAAAAGAAUUCCCACAUAGCAAUGUUAAAAGAAUAAAGAAUAAUAUAACCAA